AUUGAACGCUGGCGGCAGGCCUAACACAUGCAAGUCGAACGAGUGGCGCACGGGUGAGUAAUAUCUGGGAACCUGCCCGAUGGUGGGGGAUAACUACUCGAAACGGUAGCUAAUACCGCAUACCAUCGGAUGUGCCCAGAUGGGAUUAGCUAGUAGGUGGGGUAACGGCUCACCAAGGCGACGAUCCCUAGCUGGUCUGAGAGGAUGACCAGCCACACUGGAACUGAGACACGGUCCAGACUCCUACGGGAGGCAGCAGUGGGGAAUAUUGGACAAUGGGCGCAAGCCUGAUGCAGCCAGGCCGCGUGUAUGAAGAAGGCCUUCGGGUUGUAAAGUACUUUCAUCGAGGAGGCGUUACUCGAAGAAGAAGCACCGGCUAACUCCGUGCCAGCAGCCGCGGUAAUUC
rnacentral:rRNA from 1 species